rnacentral:snRNA from 1 species
AUCGCUUCUCGGCCUUUUGGCUAAGAUCAAGUGUAGUAUCUGUUCUUAUCAGUUUAAUAAUAACAGUAACAGUUUUCAACCCACAGUUAUCUUAGGAAUAUUUUAUUUUUAACAGCUUCU